AAAGAUCGAUACCGGAGGGGGGGCGAUGAUGCCGCGGAGAAUUCCUGCUCACGCAGGCAGCCUGUACCGCGUACAGUCUGAAACUCCCUAUACCUCAACAAACUGCCACUCCGGCGUGAAGGUAUCGUUCU
rnacentral:sRNA from 26 species